UAGGGAAUAUUGCUUAAUGGGCGAAAGCCUGAAGCAGUAACGCCGCGUGUGCGAUGAAGGCCUUCGGGUUGUAAAGCACUUUUUGAGGGGAUGAGGAAGGACAGUACCCUCAGAAUAAGCCUCGGCUAACUACGUGCCAGCAGCCGCGGUAAAACGUAGGAGGCAAGCGUUAUCCGGAUUUACUGGGCGUAAAGCGCGUGCAGGCGGCUCGAAAAGUUGGAUGUGAAAGCUCCUGGCUUAACUGGGAGAGGUCGUUCAAUACUUUCGGGCUAGAGGAUGGGAGAGGGAGGUGGAAUUCCGGGUGUAGUGGUGAAAUGCGUAGAUAUCCGGAGGAACACCAGUGGCGAAGGCGGCCUCCUGGCCCAUUUCUGACGCUCAGACGCGAAAGCUAGGG
rnacentral:rRNA from 1 species